GGUCAAGUGAAGAAGCGCAUACGGUGGAUGCCUUGGCAGUCAGAGGCGAUGAAAGACGUGGUAGCCUGCGAAAAGCUUCGGGGAGUCGGCAAACAGACUUUGAUCCGGAGAUCUCUGAAUGGGGGAACCCACCUAGGAUAACCUAGGUAUCUUGUACUGAAUCCAUAGGUGCAAGAGGCGAACCAGGGGAACUGAAACAUCUAAGUACCCUGAGGAAAAGAAAUCAACCGAGAUUCCCUUAGUAGUGGCGAGCGAACGGGGAUUAGCCCUUAAGCUUCAUUGAUUUUAGCGGAACGCUCUGGAAAGUGCGGCCAUAGUGGGUGAUAGCCCCGUACGCGAAAGGAUCUUUGAAGUGAAAUCGAGUAGGACGGAGCACGAGAAACUUUGUCUGAACAUGGGGGGACCAUCCUCCAAGGCUAAAUACUACUGACUGACCGAUAGUGAACCAGUACCGUGAGGGAAAGGCGAAAAGAACCCCGGAGAGGGGAGUGAAAUAGAACCUGAAACCGUAUGCGUACAAGCAGUGGGAGCCUACUUGUUAGGUGACUGCGUACCUUUUGUAUAAUGGGUCAGCGACUUAUAUUCAGUGGCAAGCUUAACCGUAUAGGGUAGGCGUAGCGAAAGCGAGUCUUAAUAGGGCGUUUAGUCGCUGGGUAUAGACCCGAAACCGGGCGAUCUAUCCAUGAGCAGGUUGAAGGUUAGGUAACACUGACUGGAGGACCGAACCCACUCCCGUUGAAAAGGUAGGGGAUGACUUGUGGAUCGGAGUGAAAGGCUAAUCAAGCUCGGAGAUAGCUGGUUCUCCUCGAAAGCUAUUUAGGUAGCGCCUCAUGUAUCACUCUGGGGGGUAGAGCACUGUUUCGGCUAGGGGGUCAUCCCGACUUACCAAACCGAUGCAAACUCCGAAUACCCAGAAGUGCCGAGCAUGGGAGACACACGGCGGGUGCUAACGUCCGUCGUGAAAAGGGAAACAACCCAGACCGCCAGCUAAGGUCCCAAAGUUGUGGUUAAGUGGUAAACGAUGUGGGAAGGCUUAGACAGCUAGGAGGUUGGCUUAGAAGCAGCCACCCUUUAAAGAAAGCGUAAUAGCUCACUAGUCGAGUCGGCCUGCGCGGAAGAUGUAACGGGGCUCAAACCACACACCGAAGCUGCGGGUGUCACGUAAGUGACGCGGUAGAGGAGCGUUCUGUAAGCCUGUGAAGGUGAGUUGAGAAGCUUGCUGGAGGUAUCAGAAGUGCGAAUGCUGACAUGAGUAACGACAAUGGGUGUGAAAAACACCCACGCCGAAAGACCAAGGGUUCCUGCGCAACGUUAAUCGACGCAGGGUUAGUCGGUUCCUAAGGCGAGGCUGAAAAGCGUAGUCGAUGGGAAACAGGUUAAUAUUCCUGUACUUCUGGUUACUGCGAUGGAGGGACGGAGAAGGCUAGGCCAGCUUGGCGUUGGUUGUCCAAGUUUAAGGUGGUAGGCUGAAAUCUUAGGUAAAUCCGGGGUUUCAAGGCCGAGAGCUGAUGACGAGUCGUCUUUUAGAUGACGAAGUGGUUGAUGCCAUGCUUCCAAGAAAAGCUUCUAAGCUUCAGGUAACCAGGAACCGUACCCCAAACCGACACAGGUGGUCGGGUAGAGAAUACCAAGGCGCUUGAGAGAACUCGGGUGAAGGAACUAGGCAAAAUGGCACCGUAACUUCGGGAGAAGGUGCGCCGGCUAGGGUGAAGGAUUUACUCCGUAAGCUCUGGCUGGUCGAAGAUACCAGGCCGCUGCGACUGUUUAUUAAAAACACAGCACUCUGCAAACACGAAAGUGGACGUAUAGGGUGUGACGCCUGCCCGGUGCCGGAAGGUUAAUUGAUGGGGUUAGCGCAAGCGAAGCUCUUGAUCGAAGCCCCGGUAAACGGCGGCCGUAACUAUAACGGUCCUAAGGUAGCGAAAUUCCUUGUCGGGUAAGUUCCGACCUGCACGAAUGGCGUAACGAUGGCGGCGCUGUCUCCACCCGAGACUCAGUGAAAUUGAAAUCGCUGUGAAGAUGCAGUGUAUCCGCGGCUAGACGGAAAGACCCCGUGAACCUUUACUGUAGCUUUGCACUGGACUUUGAGCCUGCUUGUGUAGGAUAGGUGGGAGGCUUUGAAGCGUGGACGCCAGUUCGCGUGGAGCCAUCCUUGAAAUACCACCCUGGCAUGCUUGAGGUUCUAACUCUGGUCCGUAAUCCGGAUCGAGGACAGUGUAUGGUGGGCAGUUUGACUGGGGCGGUCUCCUCCUAAAGAGUAACGGAGGAGUACGAAGGUGCGCUCAGACCGGUCGGAAAUCGGUCGUAGAGUAUAAAGGCAAAAGCGCGCUUGACUGCGAGACAGACACGUCGAGCAGGUACGAAAGUAGGUCUUAGUGAUCCGGUGGUUCUGUAUGGAAGGGCCAUCGCUCAACGGAUAAAAGGUACUCCGGGGAUAACAGGCUGAUACCGCCCAAGAGUUCAUAUCGACGGCGGUGUUUGGCACCUCGAUGUCGGCUCAUCACAUCCUGGGGCUG
rnacentral:rRNA from 1 species